GGUACUCGAGUGGCGAACGGGUGAGUAACACGUGGGUGAUCUGCCCUGUACUUCGGGAUAAGCCUGGGAAACUGGGUCUAAUACCGGAUAGGACUGCAUCGAUUGGUGGUGUGGUGGAAAGAUGUUUUUCGGUAUGGGAUGAGCCCGCGGCCUAUCAGCUUGUUGGUGGGGUAAUGGCCUACCAAGGCGGCGACGGGUAGCCGGCCUGAGAGGGUGGACGGCCACAUUGGGACUGAGAUACGGCCCAGACUCCUACGGGAGGCAGCAGUGGGGAAUAUUGCACAAUGGGCGCAAGCCUGAUGCAGCGACGCCGCGUGAGGGAUGACGGCCUUCGGGUUGUAAACCUCUUUCGCUAGGGACGAAGCCACCUUUGGUGGUGACGGUACCUGGAUAAGAAGCACCGGCUAACUACGUGCCAGCAGCCGCGGUAAUACGUAGGGUGCGAGCGUUGUCCGGAAUUACUGGGCGUAAAGAGCUCGUAGGUGGUUUGUCGCGUCGUCUGUGAAAUUCCGGGGCUUAACUUCGGGCGUGCAGGCGAUACGGGCAUAACUUGAGUGCUGUAGGGGAGACUGGAAUUCCUGGUGUAGCGGUGAAAUGCGCAGAUAUCAGGAGGAACACCGAUGGCGAAGGCAGGUCUCUGGGCAGUAACUGACGCUGAGGAGCGAAAGCAUGGGUAGCGAACAGGAUUAGAUACCCUGGUAGUCCAUGCCGUAAACGGUGGGCGCUAGGUGUAGGGGUCUUCCACGGCCUCUGUGUCGUAGCUAACGCAUUAAGCGCCCCGCCUGGGGAGUACGGCCGCAAGGCUAAAACUCAAAGGAAUUGACGGGGGCCCGCACAAGCGGCGGAGCAUGUGGAUUAAUUCGAUGCAACGCGAAGAACCUUACCUGGGCUUGACAUACACCAGAUCGCUGCAGAGAUGUAGUUUCCCUUGUGGUUGGUGUACAGGUGGUGCAUGGUUGUCGUCAGCUCGUGUCGUGAGAUGUUGGGUUAAGUCCCGCAACGAGCGCAACCCUUGUCUUAUGUUGCCAGCACGUUAUGGUGGGGACUCAUGAGAGACUGCCGGGGUUAACUCGGAGGAAGGUGGGGAUGACGUCAAAUCAUCAUGCCCCUUAUGUCCAGGGCUUCACACAUGCUACAAUGGUCGGUACAGUAGGUUGCGAUACCGUGAGGUGGAGCUAAUCCUUUAAAGCCGGUCGUAGUUCGGAUUGGGGUCUGCAACUCGACCCCAUGAAGUCGGAGUCGCUAGUAAUCGCAGAUCAGCAACGCUGCGGUGAAUACGUUCCCGGGCCUUGUACACACCGCCCGUCACGUCAUGAAAGUUGGUAACACCCGAAGCCAGUGGCCCAAGCCUUUUUGGUGGGGAGCUGUCGAAG
rnacentral:rRNA from 1 species